UUCACUUUUACAACAUCUCUUUUUCACUUAUGCAACUCUCAUUUUCAUUUUCAUUUACCCGCAAUGUUCCCCAACUAUCUCAUGUUCAUUUUCGUUCCACAAACGAGAAGGAAGGGAAGGGAAGGCACAUGAGGUAGCAGGCGCGGGGGGUGGCGGGCUUGACACGGGGCGGCUGCGCAACAGGUGGUGGUGUCCACGGAGUGGUAGGCGUGGGGGCGGCAGGCACGGGGAGUGGCUGGUGCGGGGGAUGGCAAUUGUGGCACCGGACGACAGCUAUACGAUAAGGUUCAUCAUCGUCGAUGACAAGGGUGUUGCGCUCCUCCGUGCUGUUCUAAGAUCUUCCAGCCGCACUCUUCCUUGCACUUCCAAGAGCUCUCUGACGCAAUAGUCCAAGGUUUCGCUCUUCCAUGCGGUGGUUUGUGGCUUUGGGCAUAAAGAUGUUUUUGAAGCUUCCAGCUUGGAGGGAUGAAAUAUUGAGAGCUCUCCAUUUGGUAUUUCACAGUCCUGAGCACGGAGCUUCAAGAAGGAACAGAUCUAAAAAAAAUUCAAUUUUUCUUGCUAGGAGUUAAAUUUGAAGACUGAGAAGUAAGUACGUUAUCAGGGCUACCCAUAACCUGAUUCACAGUAUUGGUAGUACGAUUCUUGAAAUAAUUUGGAGGAUAUCCAACCAGCUUGUAACAUGUAUCUCUGGUGUGCCCCAAUAUGUCGCAGUGUGCACACCUAGGCCUUUCUUUCUUGGUGAAUCUAUUCCUACUAGUUGCAGGUUGUGAAGAGUUGACAGUAAAGGCAAUGUUAUCUGAAUUAGCCAUAAGGAGAGAAGAAGUGACAGAAAUUUCACGUUGGGCUUCAUCUUGAAGAACAAGAGAGAAAACAUUUCCAAUGGAGGGUAAGGGGUCUGAAAGGAGAAUUUGACCCCGGAUUUGAGAAAAAGAUUCAUUCAAACCCAUCAAGAAUGACAUCAUAUAUUCAGAUUCAGUAAAUGAUUGAAGUUGUUGAAGUCCUCCACAGGUGCAUUGGAAGGUUGGUUUGUAGUCAGAUAAUUCUUCCCAGAUUGACUUUAGCUUGGUAUAAUAUGUGCUGAUAUCAUCCAUGCCUUGGUGGAGAGACAUCAAUUGGCGCCGGAGUUGAAAGAUGCGAGGACCAUUCUUUCUUGAGAAUCUUGUUUUUAAAACGUCCCAAAUUUCUUGGGCAGUAGACACAAACAGGAUGCUAGUAAUAAUAUCUUUGGAGACAGAAUUGUAGAGCCAAGAGAUGAUGACAUUAUUGGCACGAUUCCAAGUAGCAAAGGUUGAAUCAGUACUCGCAGGUUUCGGGAGGGUACCAUCAAUGAAGGCCAAUUUGUUUUUCAUAGAAAGGGCAACCUGCAUUGCUCUGCUCCAGGUGGUGUAAUUUUUAUGAUCAAGAGGUUGAGAUCUAAGAACAAGGCCAGGCCCAUCCAAAUGAUGUAGAAAAAGAGGAUUGGAGACAUCUUGGCUUGGAUCUUUUGCUUGAUCAGCCAUGAGUGGAUAAGGAAAUCAAUCAGAGUGACAGUUUGAGUGUUGGGGAAUGGAUAUUGGAUCGUAUUGAAUAAUCUCUUCUGAUACCAUGUUGAACUCACAUACAUGCACAGAGAUGCACACAAAGGUACUGAAGAAUAAUAAAGUUGAACAUAAUGAUGAGAGGAGGAAGAAGAAAGAAAAAGUGAAUGAUUGAAAAAUGCAUCUAUAUUUUGUAUUUUAGAAUGGAAAAGCCAAUAUAUAUACAAAAGAAGGAAAUUAAAAAAUAAACAAAAAUAACUAAUUAUAUAAGUCAUAUAAAUCCAAUACUUACUUUUAAGAUACACCUUAAGCAACUCUUAUCGGAGUUGAUCUUAGAACCCCUCCACAGGAAGAUAUGUCGCCAUUGAGUGCUCCAUCACAAUUUAGUUCCAGUUUGCCAACUGGUGGUGGGCCCUAACUGAUAAGAUCACACUUGGUUCUCGUGCCUCGAUUCAAAAGGUUGUGGCUAAAACCCUUGAGUUGGAGCAACUCUGCUGCACGUCCACUUAUCUCAUGCACCACACUAUUACUAUUGAAAGUACCACCUCAAAAAACCAUGUUAUUCCUCGUUUGUCAAAUAACGUUUAUCCCAA